UCAUGGAAACCGCGUUCGGCACCCCCUUCUGGCCCGCGUCGUUCAAACCGACAAAUAUUUCCACUGCGCGGCGACGGAAGCGCUCGAGCGUGUUCGGCCUUUGUACGAAACGGGAGGAGAAGGUGGCGUAACGCUGGCGUAAUAAUUGAGAGAGGCGCAGUAAGAGCGGCGACGGAGCGACAACAGAGGAUCCUUUUGCGCGUGCUUUGACACUUUUUUUUAUUGUGCGCGAAGGUGAAGAAAAAAAAAAAAAAAUCCUCAAUAGUCUCCGUGGAGGUAAGGAAGUGCUGCACAAAUAGAAAAUCACGUUUCUCCUCACGGGCGAUCAAGCAAAAAAAGCAGCGAUUGUAACCCACCGGGCUGAAGUACUCAAACACGAAGACGGCCACGGCGGACACGAUCAGCAGCAUCACAAACAUCAUCACCCACACGUCGGCACUGAAGGGCUCUGCAAGACGACGCCGCGCUUGGCGUCUUCUUACCUAAGAAGGCAGAAGGUGAGACGGUGCCGUUGCUCCGGGAAACCAUGACGCUAAUCCCCGUCUCGAUGAAGGGCACGGAAAAGUCGAUGACCUCUGACCUCUCCUCGUUGAUGGUCACAGAGAAUCAAGCCGAGUUCACAAAGAGGUUGCGCCGCCUUGUUUGGCCUUGGACCUUCACAUCAGACCCGCACCCUGAAAGGUUCAGUUUCACCGCUGAUCUAGAAUCUCCUCCUCCAAGACAAAAUUGAUCAAAAGUGAACUGACAAUUGUCAGAGAAGAAGAAACGUACGUAGCAAGAACCAGCAAACAUUAAAGGUGAAGUUGUUGGCGCUUACGUCAC